AGGGUGCAAGCGUUAAUCGGAAUUACUGGGCGUAAAGGGUACGCAGGCGGCUAGGAAAGAAGGAUGUGAAAUCCCAGGGCUUAACCUUGGAACUGCAUUCUUAACUGCCUAGCUAGAGUAUGUCAGAGGGGGGUAGAAUUCCACGUGUAGCAGUGAAAUGCGUAGAUAUGUGGAGGAAUACCGAUGGCGAAGGCAGCCCCCUGGGAUAAUACUGACGCUCAGGUACGAAAGCGUGGGGAGCAA
rnacentral:rRNA from 1 species